UCGAAACCCUAGCAGAGCCCCCCCGCCAUUUCGAAAUGUAGCAGAUAGCCGCACCAACCCCCUCAAAAUGCUACUUCUUCUCCAUCUCAAACACCAUUAACGGCUUUUGAAUAAUGGCAUCCAUGCUUGGAACUUCAUCGUCAACAAUCUUUGCUUCUCGCUUCUUAUCUUCUCCCUCCUCGAAGACUUCUAGUCCCUCUUUUUCUUUCAACCUAGUGGAUUUUACAGGGCAGGGCAACGUGAAUCGGUUGUAUGGAGGAAUUGAGAUUUUAGUAAAAAAGGGGAGGUCUCUCCUUUCGCAUGUCUCGUCUCGUUUUUCAUGACUUCCCUAGUAAGGGCAUGUUGUAUGGGAUCAAGAAGGCCUCCUCGUAGAUUAGCUACCUUUUUCGCCCGAAGCAAAUUGAGUGGAAUUUUAUUUGAGUUUUAGAAUGUAAUUCUUGCAAAUGCUAAGGUUUAAAUUGUGGAAACUAGGCUUUAGAAAAAAAUUUAUAGUGAUUUUUUGGUAAUUUAGUCUAGUAGGGAUUGAAGAACUAAAAAAUUAUAAUAUUUCUAUUAUGUUCAUAAAAACUACACUCGACUUCCACAUCUUCAUCUGCAGCAAGUGAUGAAUCAGAAAUAAUGAUGCUUGAACAUGUCAGAAGGCAUAUCCCAUUAGCUUCAUCAACUAUGGUUAUCGGUAGCAUUCUCAGAAUUCACCUAGGUAAAAACCAGCAAUACAAUAUUUGAGUUUGAGAUCAUUGGGUGCCCAAGCUAUUCUUCUCUCUUUAGGUAUACAAGGAGUUUUUCAUGGAUUCAAAGAUACUAAGACACCUCUUUAUGCUACAAAAAACCUAAUAUCCCAUUGCUCUCUUCUCUUUCCCGCCCAACAUUCCAUGAAUCUCUCUUCACCCAAGCUCAAUAAACGACUGUCUCUCGACUAGGCCAUCGGCGCACCACCGAAUCUUGAAGGCCAUUUCAACCCUCUCCACUCUAUUUCCCUCUCCGCUGGAUCUCUCUCCCCUUCGCCCUCUUCUUCGCAAACCCGUAGCCCAAACCACCACCACCAGAUGCGCAACCCAACGACCCAACCACAACAACACUUCUUUGGUGUCCUUCUCGUUGCCGGCCGCUGCUAGCAGAGUUCUUUGACGAGGUUGGGCGAAGGUUGGAUUGGAGGCGACGGGCUUCAGAUCUUGUUCGUGGGCUACGGGACUUGGACUGGUUGGUGAACUGCUGCUAGAGGUUUUCUUCAAAACUAAAAUUGCUCAAUCUUUCAUUAUAAAGCUUAUGGCGCUAGCUACUUAGCGAUACAAUUUUAAUCGAGAUUGGAUAAGCAAAAAGGUACUUCGGAUAAUAUCAAGAGUUAGGAAAGUUAGGAGUAGGAGAACCUUUUCUACUCAUACAUAUAGAGGAUAGGAUUGUGUAUUGUAAGUGCAAAUUUUUACUAAGUUAUGAAGGUUCGGCUUGUAUAUUGAAAGUAUUGUUAAAAAUAUUUGUUAUAUAGACACUUUAUCUAAUAUUACUCAUGUAAUUGUCUUUUGAAUUUAUCUUAUUAAUUUUAACUUUAUAUUAUUAUUUUUUAA